CCUACGGGAGGCAGCAGUGAGGAAUAUUGGACAAUGGCCGAAAGGCUGAACCAGCGAAGUCGCGUGAAGGAAGAAGGAUCUAUGGUUUGUAAACGUCUUUUAUAGGGGAAUAAAGGUAUCCACGUGUGGAUAUUUGCAUGUACCCUAUGAAUAAGCAUAGGCUAACUCCGUGACAGCAGCCGAGGUAAUACGGAGGAUGCGAGCGUUAUCCGGAUUUAUUGGGUUUAAAGGGUGCGUAGGUUGUUUUUGAAGUCAGCGGUGAAAGUUUGUGGCUCAACCAUAAAAUUGCCUUUGAAACUGGCAGACUUGAGUGUGUUUGAGGUAAGCGGAAUGCGUUGUGUAGCGGUGAAAUGCAUAGAUAUCACGCAGAACUCCGAUUGCGAAGGCAGCUUACUAGGCCAUAACUGACACUGAGGCACGAAAGCGUGGGGAUCAAACAGGAUUAGAUACCCUAGUAGUC
rnacentral:rRNA from 1 species